ACAAGACCAGAAUAUGCAAAGCCUUUUUUUUUUUUUUUUUUUUCCCUUCCUUGUUGGAGGGUCGGAUAUGAGAACGGGGAACCGUUUUCUUUUUUCUUUUCUACUAUUUUUAAAGCAAAGGCAUGUGUCUGGCAAAGGCAUGUGUAUUGGUUAAAUUGAUGGUCAAAAUGACUAAUUAAUUGCUUCACAAAUGGCUAUUAAUCAUACAUUAUUGAGAUAUUCUCUUUGCUUUGGCAAAUAGAGAUCCUGUGGCAAUUCUCUCUCCUUGGUACCCUAAGCAGGCUGAAAGCAUGCAGAACUCGAUUAAUCUUACAGCACCAUGCAGUGUUCGAACUGCUCACCAGCUGAAGAGAAGCAAAUAGCUGGGACAUUUAAACUGUCCAUAUUUCACUGUGUAAAUUCAGAAGCACUUAAUCAUUCCUUCAGGCAUUCUUUUGUUCCUUUUCUUUCUGCUUUGUUAUUUGUAUUUCAAAGCCUAUCCAGGGCUAGAAGAAAAAGGCUCUAAUAUAACCCAUUCCAAAUACACUUAGAUGAACAUGUGCCACCUAUCUUUUUGCAAAAACUAAGAUUAUCUUGUGUAUAGCUAAUAAAAACUGACACCUACUAGUCAUGCUUUCAGCAUCUCUUGAAAUCUACCUGCAUUGCUAGGACAUGCAGUAAACAAAAGGAAAAAGGCACGCCAUGCUGUGAUAUUUAUUUUGACAUGGCAGAGAUGCAAAAUCUCCAAGAUUAGAAAGAGGGCCAGAUGCACAUCUUGGAUAAAUUGCUAUAUUUCUUUCUAAUAAAAAUUAAGCCAAUUUGCACAAGUUAAUUAAAAAAAAAUCAGUACUGUGUUUAUCAAGAUAGCAUGAGUCCCAGUCCUAAAGUGAUUCUCAAACAGGCAGUGGAGAGCCUGGCCUCUCACAGUUUGUAUCCGAAUACACUUCAAAAAGUGAAGGUAGGUAUGUUCUGUCUGAAAUAGCAGUGUGUGGUCUGAGAGAAGCCCUGGACUGUGGGCUGUGCAGUCAGCAGCUACUUCAGGAACACGGUUUCUUUCUUCUCAGAUGUCACUGGAAGUUAUUAAAAGCCGUUCUGUAGUCCUGUUGAUGAGACUAGUCAUAAACUGAGUAAGAUUGUUGGACAUGGAUCAAAAUCUGCAUGUUUAAUCUGUAGAUUUAAACUACAUGUUGGAGUUUUAGAGGAAACUUUUCCUAGGAAAUUUUUCUUCCUUGGCUAGGUUUCAGUAUCAUCUGAGGUGGCUAACACAGACUACUGACAAAGACACAGUGCUGAAGCACACAGAUCCUUGAUCUCACUCAGUAUAGCAGUUCAUGUCACAGUGUGGACCGUUCUCCCCAAAUCAAGAUGGUGGUGAGUGCACUCUCCUUGUUAAUCAUUUCAUUAUUCUAUGUGAAAUUAAUUUUUCAGGCUUGGUCCCUCACUUUAAAAGCCAUUAUACUCGUGGUUAAUGGAGUCUUGGUUCAAUACCUCUUCAGGGAGGCCAGCUGAACCUGUGGCACAUGAGAGCUGUGGAAGGCCUGAGCUGGUCAAGAGGAGCUGGUGGAGCGCUGCAGAGGUGGCAUGGGAAGCUGCAAGCAGGUGAAGAGAUGUGGCUUUGCCACAAAGCCUUGCUUUCAUUAACUUCUACAUGAGUAGUCCAAAUGUGUGGUGGGAUUGAAACGUUCUGUGAAAUUGCCCCACUGCCUUCAAAUGCAGAAGACCUCGGCCUCCAGCAAAUCCCCCCACCAAGUAAGAGCAGAGUUGGUAGACUGCUGGCAGCUGCUAGAAGGGACCCUGAGACAACUCGUCUUCUGGCGCUGCUCUAGGAGGGAACAACAAAAUACAAGGUUUGUGAUGAUGCUGAAGGUGGCUUAAGUGUGCUGACACUGGAAGUGAUUCGGGAUGGCACUGUGCACCAGGGUGAGGAGUCCUUUGAAUACACCACGUCAACCAGCUCUUGUAGCAGCAACUCCAGAGCAGAGAUGGUGCUUGCAACUGCCUCCAGACCUGAUCCUUGCCACGCAGAAAGAAAAUGCACUUUUUGAAAGCCUUCACGCCAAACGGACUUUCCGACUGAGAGGCAGCUCUUGGAUUUGUUUCAAAAGCCAUGGGUAUCGAAAGAAAACAAUGGACAUGCAACGAACAGUGUGAAGCGGCAGAUGCUGCCACUUGUAAGCAGCCGAAAAGGUCUGUUUGCUGCUACCAAGACAAUCAAAAUGAAGUGGGAAUGAUUUAGUAAUGGAUGACAAUAUUACUGUGGAGCAACUGUGUUAAAUCCUUCUGGUAAUAGUAAUAACUAUUUGACACAUCAGAGUGCAUACUGCACAAGGACUUACAGAUGGUCAUUCACAGUCAUCUGAUUUGUCUACCUCGGACGGCCUCCCUGUGAACAAACACAUCACCUUUUUUGCUCCAUUUUGAAGAAAAUGCUAGCAGAAGGGUUUACAGGCAGGAAAGUUUGCAGUAACACAAUUUACAGAGGUACUCAUAAAAAAAAAAAAAAAACUUUUGUACUUGUUAAAUACUUUGCAUGGGUUUUGGCACUGCUUCAGAAAAGCACCUGUGUUUUUGCUUGAUUUUACACUUACAUUUGUCACGUCAACUUCGGAUCUCCAUCAAGAAAACGAAAGCUUUGCCACAGGUCUUCUUGAGAGCAGGUAUGGUUUGUGCAAUACGUGCAGUGCAGAUGGCACUCUGAUCCCCACCUUGUUGGCUUCUGCGAGUAGCUGAGGUGCCGCGUGCCGAGGAGCCAGCCACAGGCAAGGGGCAUCCCUGAGGGAUGUGCGUGGCCCCUGGGUGCUCCUCAGCUCACCCAGCCAUAGCUGGCAGGAGCAGAGGCCUCGGGGGAGGCCAUGCUGCGGUGCUGCGCUGCAGUGUUCCUGUGUUCAUCGAUGUGCCCAGAAAGAGAUGGGGAGGCUUACUGGCAAGCGCGUCGUUAAUGCUAUUAAACGUUACUUAGGCCCACAGCAAGCUGCAUGUUCAACAGUUUAAGCUGUAAUUGCUGGCUGAUGCAGAAAUAAGACUGGAUAUAUGUAAAUCCUGUUGAACGCUAAUGUAAUUUACCUCCUUGGAUGGAUUAGCAGCCUCUGCAAUUAGCGGUGUGUGCAGCUAGUCAUGUUAUGGAGAAUCCAUCGCACAGGGCUGUAGGGUACAUUCAAAUUUGCGUAUACUACGUGUGCCUCUUUUUAUUUAUUUAUUUAUUUAUUUUCAUCCAGGGGGACAUUGCUGGGUAACACAGAGCCAGUGCUGUGUCCUUUGUGGAGGGUGGGGAAAUGUGUGACCCACCUCCUGUCACCUUCAGCCUUUCUUCCUUCUCUCAUGCAUUUUUCACCUCCCCCACUGUUUCCCUGUGACAUGUUAAUGUUUUUUGGGGUGGUGGAGGGAGAGAAAACUCCCUGCUGUAGCUAAAGCAGUUAUCCCCAGCUCGUGCAAUUGGAAGAUAUUGUAUCAGCAUGUAUUUUCAUGCAUGUGCAUACUGUUUGUGUUCAUCUGUUUAAAACAAGAGUCAGAGAGAGCGAGACGUAUAGACAUACAAAGUCCAAACAGAUUUCCUUCCCCUGCAUCCAUAAAGUCUACUUUUGCAGCAAGCAUGUGAAUGGUGGGCGAUUUAGGUCCUAGGGUGCUGCACGAAAUAAGUGCAGGUGCACUGCAACUGCAUAAAAAGUCAUCGGUUUGAUUUUUUAAAUACAUUUGGGAACAAAGGUGCAAAUCCCCCUCUCUCUGUUUUGUUUUGAAGUUCUAAGAUUAGGAUCCUUUGUUCCUCAAUGCAUAAGCAAUCACUGUGGGCUUUUCCAUGGCUUGGCACACACGUUUUCUAGUACCUGAGGGUCUGUGACAGUCAUAUCAUCCCUGGUUGUGCAUCUCAUAUAUCCCUUUAGAGGCUUCCUGUUUCCAAAUUAUUUCCUGCACAAUUUUAAAAGCAACGCACUAAUAAUGACUUUCCCAGCACAUUUGGAGGCAUUUAAGAAAGGAAGUGCUAGUGGCAUUUCAUGCAGGUAAAUUUCCUACAGACCUGGGAAGCCCUCAGACUUUGUGUAUACAAGCUGCUAGUCUGUGAAGGCGUAGUUACAGCAUGGUUAUUUUAGACCGAGCCAUCCCUGCAGGUAGGUGCAUGAUGGAGGUGUGACUUAAUACAGGGUGCUUGGACUUGAUACAGGAUGCCCGAGGUGUUGUGUGGGGACACAGUCAGUAUUGCCCAGUGCCCCCUUCUUCAGAAAACUUCUUUAUUGCAGUGAAUGCUCCUUGUUUGCACCCUGUCCGGACCAGCUCUUGUAGUAGUUUUGUGUCAUUUCAGUGAUUUCCAAAAGAGGAGGAAGAGACUAAUAGCCAUACUCCGUACUGUCUAUCUGUUUUCUAAGGCCACAACAUACCACCUUAUACUCCCCUUUUUAUUGCUUCCUUUCUUUUCAGAAAUGGAGGCAACACACGGGCACCAACAGAGUUAGAAUGGCGUGGGCAGCGCUGUCAUGGUGGUUUGCCAGGAGUAUAAAUAAAAUCCUCAGUUAAGUGAAAGCAGGAACAUCUUUGUCACUGUUGUUAGCUGGGACUUCACUUGAUAUUUCUAAAUGGUGCUGAAGAAAAGACACAUGAGUUGAAUACAAUAAAAAUAACAUGAUUUCUUCAUGUAGGAGGGAAAAAAUGUUUUCUCCAAUUUUUGCUAAAGCUGUAGUAAAAUGUUGAUUUCCCUGCCUUAUUGCUGCUGCUUCUGCUCACAACUUGAACACGAAUGUGUGAUUCGCAGAUAGUAGUCUAUCUACAGCACCAUUUAAUCGUACUUUUUUUCGCACUGGGUGCACUGAGAAGGUCAGUUUUGAAAGCAGCUAUUGCAAACAUUCACCUAGAUGUCUACUUCUUCAAAAAUCCCAGGGAAUAUUCAAAUCUGCUUGCAUCCCUGUCCGCACAGUUUUCCAAACUUCCCCUCAGUGCAGGGCUGCACUAUCAGCUUUGUCAUGGAUGACACGGCAGUUUGUCUGUGUGUGGCACCCUGCCCAAACAGGACAGACAGGGGGAUGAACAAUCAAGCUGUGGAGAUGCAUCUGUGGAAAGGAGAGUUUUCAUUCUUCAUGGUGGAAAGACAAUUUUAUCCUUGCUGUGAGGGGAUAUCACUCCCCCCUUGUUUUAAAGUUCUUUAAAGGACUGCUCUCCUUUCACUCACACGCUGCCUUCAGAAAUGUAAAUCUCACCAUUGUGCCCCAUUAUUUGGGGAAAGGGGGAGGGCAUUGUUCACUGAAGGAUUUUAUGUUACUAAGAACUGUUAGCUAAGAAAUGUGGUGUGCAUUUUUUCCUGCUGCAGUGUUAGCCAAAAUUGAAGAAGGAGGCCUUUAUUGUAAUCGUUAUUUAAAUAACAUUUCUGUGCUUCUUGGCUAUCCCUUUUAAAGACAUUGUAAUAGCAACCCUACUCCAGCCAUCUGACAGCUCACCUUGUCACAUAUAUGGCUGUAACACAAAUGUCCAGGGGAGGCAGGGAGGAUCUUGGCUUGUUGGACUUGGGUGUUCCCUGGCUGGGAGCCCUCCCUUUAUGUCUUGGGGGAAGGGGAUUUUCUGGCCCAGCCCUGAAUAAACUGGUGGGGAUUAUCAGAGGUGGUCGGGCUGCUUUAGGAGUCCUCCCCCCCUCCCAUUGGCAGAGCUGCCCAAAAAGCCGCCAAGUAAACGUCUUUGGGCUGGAUUGCUUUUCUGGUGGUUUGUCUUGGAAAACUUUGUUCCGUGUUGUCUUACCUCAGAUGUGGUCAAGCCAAACUUUAAGGAACUUUUAGGUGGCUGCAGCUUCUGUUGUUGUAAUUUUGGUUAGUUUAUACUCAACUUCUAAAGCAAUCCUUCCCUCCAAGAACAAAGAGCCUCGGCAAAUCCCUGUGUGUCAGGUCUCCAUGGCAUCUCUCUGGAAAGUGCAGAGGCAGAAUUCAGCUCAGCAGAUUUUAUCUGCCCUGACACCAGACGUAUGAGGACAAACCAUCCCAGAAUAUUUCGAAGGGGACGUGUAGAUGAUUGCAUCUGUCACCUGUGAAAUGCUGAUUCAGCCAUGGAACUGGACAACAGCCUAGUCCAGAUCCAGACAGCUCAGUAAAGCCAACAGCUCUGAUUUGCAGCAGUACUUUCAAAGAGUUGCGUGCAUGUCAGUCCACCUGCUCAGAGUCGUGCCCAUCCUCACCUGUGGUCUGACGGAGUCCUGUGGUCUCGGAAAGAAGAGCAGCUCCUUCCAGCCCUCGCUGUCUUCCCCUCCUCCUAGCCAGAAGGCAAGUAGCUACUGCCCCUAACACACUGAUGCAUUCUUUGGCUCCCAAAGAUGUUUUAAACCACGUGGUGUCCUGAAUUAGGCUAGGAUUAAGACCACACAGUUUUUCCUGGCUAGUUCUUCAAAUAGUCUUCAGGAUUCAACACCAGCAUUAUGAUCCUGAUGACUGACAGGGAAGGGCUUUGUAUUGUCCCCUGUGAUAGAACAAGGCCUCGUCGCUGAGACUGGACGUGAAAAUGAAUUUCCAAAAGGAUCCCGCAUCUCCUCUGACAAGUGGGAACAGCCUGAGCUAUAUGCCCAUGCAAGCCUGGGAGGUUUUCCUCACAUUUCAAGUUCAAGCAGUAUUAGGAGGCAAAAGGGAAAUAGAUUUCAGUGCCUCUCAGAGAGACAUGAUUUAAUUUCUCUGAAACACAUUGCAUGCCAAAACCCAACCUGUCGAGCAGCUCACAGCAGCUCCUGUGUCCAGCUGUAUGGAAGCUCUGUGCUGUAUGUAUCUGCAUGGGUAGAGACAGGAAAACAUCUGUAGCAGUAAAGAGCAUACCUGGGAACACACAGAAAGGAGAGCAGUGUUAGCAAAACCAGAGGAUGCUGUCUCCUUACCUGACUCACAGGAUAUGGGGACCCGUGUUUCUGCUUACAGGGUGACAGUUACCAUGGAUUCUGGGCUGUGCGACUUCAGAGCCAGAACAGAACAAAGCAGCCUGGCUGCCUCUGCAAAGUUGGCCUUGUGCAAGACCUGUGUACAUCAUCUGCAGCUGUCCUGCUGGAGGAGGCUUCUGCUAUCAUCUUAUCUAAUCCCUGCCCGCCUCCCGCUGCAUCCUGAGGUGUGUCUGUUCCUCACCUAAAAGUCUGCUGGUUGCCUUCACCCCAGGCAGCAAACAACGGUUACUUAAAGCCUUUCACAGUAGCUGGCACGGGGUGUAGAGCUGUUGGGGUGGCACCUCUUGGGACCAAUAACCUCCUGCAGGAAGCAGGGAUAACAGCCUGGAGAAGCAGUAGCUUCUUUGGCCAGCAGCACACGCCAGAGAGGAGGGGAUGUUCAUGUGCCAGAAGAUUGCCCCUGGUCUGCAAGCUGUACGUUACUGCAGUGCUCUGUGGGCUGCCUGGGACAGGAGAGCAAGAGAGCUUCUCCCAGCAAACAAUGGCACAGGUGCUCUGGUGGCCCAGGAGAAUUUCUGCUAACCGGGCAUCCAAAUCUUUUCUGAGCCUUUACAUCACUGACCCAAAGAACAGGCGAAUUCCAGUAGCUGCAGAGAAAGAGAUUUAAACCUAAACUCUUGAGGUUAACAGGAUCCAGCUGCCCAGGACUUCUGUCACGUCUCCUCGCUGUGUGCAUGUCCAGGAGCCUUCAGCUCUAUAAACAUCCUCCUCGGUCCCUGGGUGUUUUAUAACCUCUGAAAGUAAAUGGAGAGGUAGACGGCUGGAAAGAUUUAGAAUUGCCUUAAAUCAGACCAGCAAUUCAACUUUUCCAGCAUUUGCAGUGUCCAGCACCAGAUAUUUUUAAGGAAGCAGCACGACUUCAGCAAGCAGUAGGAUUUUGCCCCUGCUGUUCCUAACUUUUCAGAAGGGCCACCUGUGUGACUCUGAACUAUCAUCAGGCGACAAAUUCAGACAGCAGUUUUUUUCUAAAUGUCGUCUUACACAAGCUUAGGGGGGAAGAGAGCAUACCUGCUUGAUCUGCAAACUCCAUCAGUGAGCACAGACCUGUUAAACGCGCAUCUUCUCUGCUUUUGAUGGAGUUAUCGAUCCGCCUUCAGAGAGCAUGACCUGGAUUUAUCUCUAUGCACUGUGCAGGUCUCUUGGCCAGAGAAAAUGAAAGUGAAUCAGAGGAGGAUCCUAGGCAGUGACAAAGAAACACAAUUUAACUCAGGCUUAGCAUAGGUCUUGAUAGUUCCCUGUAAAAAACUGAUCCCACUGUGGUAUUCUUGAACUACAUUACAUUCAGAUCCCUGUGUAUGCCUUCACUGAAAGCUGAGACAUAUCCCAAAUCCAGUACUGCCUCUUGAAAAUAAAUCCAAAGUUAAUCCUGCAUGAUUGUUCCAUGUUCUUGUCACUGGAAGGAAAGAAGAAGCAGGAGGGUCUGGAACUGAAAACUCUGGAACGGGACUUGGAAAGACCCCGGCAGCAGGCUGCUUUAUUGACUUGGGAUAAGUCAGCGGUCUCAGUCUGCCCCUGGUAAAUAAAUGGGAACUCAUCUCAACAUUCAUACCCAUCAGGAUCUUCCUUUCUGUGCUGUUUGGAAAGGGAGUGGCAAGGUACUGUGGAUACAGCCUCUGGGGAAUAGCACUGUACUGCUAUUUUUAUCCAAACUACAAGUAAUGUCCUUCAGCAAGCAGUGACAUUGUUUUCUAGAAAAUAGGUUUGUAGCUGAUUCAUUUUCAGAGUAUCUUGAUGUGUCUUUGCAGAAGAUACUCUGGGGUCCUAACUGAAAUUCCUUCUCAUUCUGCAGUGUUUCAGAGGGAUUGUGGCCAGGACAAUGGAUUCACACAGGAUAUCCUAGGUAUCACGUUCAGCCUGGCCACGGGCUUGCCAGGUGACAAGCUGGCUGGAUCUUGCAGUGCCACGUUGCUGUAGGGCCUCUCUCCCAUCACUUACCCUGCAUGCGUUUGCUUAGGUGGGGGCCCGCUCGGGGCAGGGACAGGUGCCAGGGCCCUGGCACACUGCAUUCCCAAGUGCGGCCAAGUGGCCUGGGGCUGCUAAAUAAUGAAGAUACAAGUGAAGGAUACUCCUACACCAGGCUCAUUGCAAGACCUCACUCCCGUUGUCAGUCAUGUAGUGACAGGGCCACACUUGUGGGUGGCACGUUCAGCAUGUGUACAUGCCCAUGCACGCGCUCGUGUGCAUGUCCUUGCUCUCUCCCCAUAUUGCAUGUCUGCUCAGUGCCAACAGAGCUCCUUUUGAAGAAGUGCUCAUACUGUGCUCAUGUAAUGGGGCAGGAAGGCUAGAAUAUGCAAGGGACUGAUCUUUGUGUUUCUUUGGCAGUGUUGUAGUGAGUGCUACAGUUGCAAGUGCACUGAGAUGUGAUGGGGAGAUCAAUGUGCGUCACUGCGCUCUGCAGCCAGCUCUGCAGCCCUCACAGGAGGUGGAGCCAGCGUGUUCCCGUGGUGCAAGGGGAGCACAGAGGGUGCCCCUCUGGCUGGAGGUCUGUGCCUGUCCAGGAGGUGGGGAGCUGCAUUUGGGAAUGGGAACUAGGCUUCGGGCAGCAGGAAGAAGAAAGCCCCUCUAGCUACAGAGCUCCUCACACAUUGGUAUAAUGAAGGCAAUCGCCAAGUACUGUCAUCUGCAAGAGGGGUGUUAGGGGGAGGCUGCUCAGGCUUCAUAAUCCAGUGUUUUCAGCAGAGCUGGGGCAAAUCCAGUUAAUUUUUGUCACGAGUAGAAGUCCUAUGGAAACCUCUUCCCUGUUGCUAGUAGCAUCUUCCCUGGCUUUCUGUUGGUCAGAUCACUGAGGCCUGCCUCCUCAGUGGGGCAGCAGAAAGGCGUUCUGAGGCACAAACCUCCCUUCUGGCUGCUCUCUGUGUUGACACUUCCAUUUGGUUGUACCAUUUAAUUUUACUUUGGUGCACAUUACAGCACCCCGUUUGUGUUGCCUUCUCGGCCUCAAUGCAGAGAGGAAUAGUUGUGGUGCCCACAGAGCUUGCAGGUUUCUUUAUUGUCUUUUUUUUACAAGUAGGUGGCUUUUCGAAGUGCUUUUGUCACAAAGAGCAGAGGAGAAAGCAUUUGUUGGUAAUUACAGCUUAGGAGGCACUGAGAAGGCAGAAAGUACACAGUAGACUAAGGACUUAUAAGUGACAGUACUUAAAGGAAAAUGCCUGUGAAUUUGGUGUUAGUUUGGUAAUGUUGGCCUGCUUGGCGUGUUUAGUCUUCCAGGCUUGGGAACCUCUUUCCUGGAAGACUGUUAUGUUUUGGAAAAAGCACACAGACUUCCAGGCACAAAAGUGUGUGUUCAAUCUGUCCUUCCAUGUGUUGUGAGUAAAGGCUUUCUUCUGUUUUGUUUGUUUUGCUUCCCACAACUGCAUCUGGUUGGGAUCAUGCAAGCCUCGCCUUAUGUAUGUUCAAGUAAGACAGCACCAGGGGCCUUAGAGAGUCUUAGUGCUCCCCAAGUGCUUACUAAGUGGUCUCUCACACAUGGGAGGAGAAGGCAUUCUCCACAGAUGAGUUUGUGCUAAGGAUAUGUUAUGGCUGACAUGUUUCAAAUUUAGGCUAUGAAAAACGUGGCUUCUGAAGCACGGAGUUGUAAAUGCUCAGCUGUUAGAUGCUGAGUGAGUAUCACCUCAGCUGUGUUCAUGGUUUUGAAAGUGACCACAGAAUCCCAUCCAGGUACUAAAUAAAAAAGCUAGCGCUCAAGUGAGCCAAAUCCCUGAAACUCCUGUCACUCAAGAGUUAUUUAGAUCAAGGUGAAGUGAAUGAGGAUGCUUACCUUUAGAGGCCUGAAUCUGCUUGGAGCCUAGCUUUAGGUAUUUGUGUUAGAAAAGGCUGGCCCAAGGUGUUGUUUAUGUUCAGGCUUCUCUGUUUCACGGGGGAGAAGUGAAGAUAAAUUAGAUGGGGUCAUACUCUCUUCUCAUGUGUGGCUUUGUAAAUCUGAAAUGAUUUCACAGUGCUUUUAGUUCAGCUGAGGUAAGUCUGGCAUCAUGGAGGAAAGUAACAGACCAUAUUCAUUCUGUUGUGACAUGGUCCUGAGGUAGUGUGGUGCUCAGCGCUACAAAAAAAGCUUCAGGUUGAUUAUUUUUUUAUUUAUUUAUUUUAAUCGAAAGCAGUGGGCAUAUCCUGUGAUAUAAAACUGUGAUCAAUUCCAGAGUGCAUCUCUAGAAACAGCGGGAGAGAGAAGCAGCACUUCCAGAUGGGAAGCUGUAUUAGAAGUGUGGAGUGUCUAUCUGAAAAGAGACACCUGGGUAAGCGAAGAUCCCAAUAAAUAAGCAUCCUGGGCUUUGAGCCUUGUGAGUGCUUGUACAAGAACAGUUGGAAAGCCUUAAGUGAGGGUGUCUUGCUCGUAUGCAGCUGACCAAGUGUGUUGCUUACAGUUACCAUGUGUCAAGA